rnacentral:rRNA from 1 species
UACGUAGGGUGCAAGCGUUGUCCGGAAUUAUUGGGCGUAAAGAGCUCGUAGGCGGUCUGUCGCGUCAAAUGUGUAAACCCGGGGCUCAACCCCGGGCCUGCAUUCGAUACGGGCAGACUAGAGUUCGGUAGGGGAGUCUGGAAUUCCUGGUGUAGCGGUGAAAUGCGCAGAUAUCAGGAGGAACACCGGUGGCGAAGGCGGGACUCUGGGCCGAUACUGACGCUGAGGAGCGAAAGCGUGGGGAGCAAACAGG